CGGGUGAGUAACGCGUAUCCAGCCUGCCGUCUACUCUUGGACAGCCUUCUGAAAGGAAGAUUAAUACAAGAUGGCAUCAUGAGUCCGCAUGUUCACAUGAUUAAAGGUAUUCCGGUAGACGAUGGGGAUGCGUUCCAUUAGAUAGUAGGCGGGGUAACGGCCCACCUAGUCUUCGAUGGAUAGGGGUUCUGAGAGGAAGGUCCCCCACAUUGGAACUGAGACACGGUCCAA
rnacentral:rRNA from 1 species